rnacentral:pre_miRNA from 1 species
GUACUACUCCCUUCGUUUCAAAUUACUUGACUUACAUUUAUCUAGACAUGAAUGUAUUUAGACAUUAAAUAAAUAUAGAUACCGUACAUCCAUAUCUAGACAAAUAGGGGUCAAGUAUUUUGGAACCGAGGGAGUAGAAA